UCCAACGAGGGAAUGUUAGCCAUGGUCAACACUCCACGGACAAAAGCAGAAAAUGAUGUUGAAUCUCCAAUUUUUUCUGUAGAGAUUUGCAAUUAUCAGCGAAAAGAUGCUUCAAAAAUGGUGGAAGCUCGGGUAACUCUUGUAAUUGAUGGCAAUAUGAAACUACUAAUAUGGACAAAUGAUCACGCUUACGGAUGGAUGUGGGAAGGCUUGUAACAUUG
rnacentral:lncRNA from 1 species